CUUCUAUCCCUACAAAGUUUCCCAGUGUAGAUAAAAGUGUUGUGAAGCUUGCCCGCUGUGAGUAAGGGCCGCCUUCAGCUGUCUGCGUGGAACAGGUAGAUAACUCACGUCAACCAGCAGAGCUAGGCGCCCAGUACUCCAGGUGAGCGAUGCCAGGACUUCAUCAAACACUUGACUGGGCUUACAUGGAGCCCAAUAACAGAUCCAUUGCUUGGACUAUGCACCUGAGGUGAAGCCACUGAGGCACAUCAACCUCUAGUAUGAAGCGUGUAUGAACUGGACACUGACUGGGAUUGUUGAAUAGCCAGUGGUAAUGAUAUCAUUUCAACACAUGGAGACAUCUCCAAAUGAAUUGUCCGGUGAGCAGCGAUUCUAUGUGCAGUUCAUGCCUGGUGCACAAUUUGGAUGUUUGUGAAAGGAAGCAGAAAGGAAAGACCUCAAAAUACAUUGGAGUCCUGACAUCAACCUGACUACGAAUAACAUGGUUACCCUGUAACAAGAAACCAGUUGUAGAAGAGUCGGACAGUCCAUUUUGGUACAAAGCCCCCUUCUGAUUAUGGUAUGUAGCAGUGGGAGUAUGCUGUUAAUCAUUGUCAGUUUAAGCCCACCUUAAACUGUUAUCUAAAUUCACUUAGCCUUCUGGGCUUCCCCAACAAAGAUUACACCAGUGUGCAGCAGUAUCCUGAGACUCGUCAAGGAGACAGUAUGGAAGUGAGAGUGAUGUUGAUUCUCUGGUUUAUCAAGUUUACCUGAGUUUAUUUUGAGGAGCAGAUUGAAUGUUGUACUACAGACAGUAUCAGUAGUUAUCAGGGAGGUAUGUCAGCCUGUAGCCUGGCCCUGAUAAACCAUUGCCAGGCAGUAAUAUGUGUCUUCAUUGUUAGACGCUGAACCAGCAUUCUCAAGAUACUAGAUGCAGUGGAUAUUUUUUUCAAAAUUUCAUCUAAUUUUUUUUUUUACUACAGUACUCGGGGAGGAGCAACCAUCUUAGAAAGACUACAUGUAACAAAUAUUGAUAGUGAAGUUUGUAUUAUGUUAAGAAUGUGUAUCUCAAAAUAUGACUUUGUAUGUACACAAGAGUGUUCCAGCAGUAAUCCAGAAUCGUGCUCCCCUUCUUGCGGAUCUGUUUCUCUAUGCAUAUGAAUCGGAAUUACUGUUCGUAUUGGCGAAGUCAAAACAAGGUAAUUUGGCCAAAAAGUUUAACUUAAGCUUCAGGUAUAUCGAUGAUCUUAUAUCGUUUAAUAACAGAUAGCCAAUUCCCUUCCACUGAUUUACCCAGCUGAACUAGAGACAAAGGACACCAGUGAGACUGCCUCACCUGUUUUAUAUUUAGAUCAAUGCAUAAAGAUUCAGAGUGACAUAACACUCUCUGCAAGACUGUAUGAUAAGAGGGAUGACUUCAACUUUCCAAUAGUCAACUAGAAACAAAGGAGACCAGUGAGACUGCCUCACCUG